rnacentral:rRNA from 1 species
UACGUAGGGUGCGAGCGUUAAUCGGAAUUACUGGGCGUAAAGCGUGCGCAGGCGGUUCUCCAAGUCCGUUGUGAAAGCCCCGGGCUCAACCUGGGAAUGGCAGUGGAAACUAGGGGACUGGAAUCUGGCAGAGGGGGGUGGAAUGCCGCGUGUAGCAGUGAAAUGCGUAGAGAUGCGGCGGAACACCGAUGGCGAAGGCAGGUCUCUGGGCUGUAACUGACGCUGAGGAGCGAAAGCAUGGGGAGCGAACAGG